rnacentral:tRNA from 1 species
AGACUGUUAGUUUAAGAAAAACCUUUGAUUUCGGCUCAAAAACUUGUGGUUAGAGUCCACAACUGUUUA